GAUGAACGCUGACAGAAUGCUUAACACAUGCAAGUCGAUGGGGAAGUGGUGCUUGCACCAUGGCAACCAUGGCGGACGGGUGAGUAACGCGUAAGGGACUUACCUGCAGGACUGGGAUAACAGGGGGAAACUCCUGACAAGACCGGAUAAUGUCAUGGAGCUGCAUGGCUUUAUGAUGAAAGGAGACGCCUGCGGAGAGCCUUGCGUCCUAUUAGCUAGUUGGUGAGGUAAUGGCUCACCAAGGCGAAGAUAGGUAGCCGGCCUGAGAGGGUGGACGGCCACAAGGGGACUGAGAUACGGCACUUACGCCUACGGGAGGCAGCAGUGGGGAAUAUUGGACAAUGGGGGCAACCCUGAUCCAGCAAUUCUGUGUGCACGAAGAAGGUUUUCGGAGUGUAAAGUGCUUUCAGCAGGGAAGAAGUAAGUGACGGUACCUGCAGAAGAAGCGACGGCUAAAUACGUG
rnacentral:rRNA from 1 species